GACGAACGCUGGCGGCGUGCUUAACACAUGCAAGUCGAACGGAAAGGCCCCUUUGGGGGUACUCGAGUGGCGAACGGGUGAGUAACACGUGAGUAACCUGCCCUUGACUUCGGGAUAACUUCAGGAAACUGGGGCUAAUACCGGAUAGGAAUCCUUGCUGCAUGGUGGGGGUUGGAAAGCUUCGGCGGUUUUGGAUGGACUCGCGGCUUAUCAGCUUGUUGGUGGGGUAGUGGCUUACCAAGGCUUUGACGGGUAGCCGGCCUGAGAGGGCGACCGGCACAUUGGGACUGAGAUACGGCCCAGACUCCUACGGGAGGCAGCAGUGGGGAAUAUUGCACAAUGGGCGGAAGCCUGAUGCAGCAACGCCGCGUGCGGGAUGACGGCCUUCGGGUUGUAAACCGCUUUCAGCAGGGGCGAAGCUUGUGGUGACGGUACCUGCAGAAGAAGCACCGGCUAACUACGUG
rnacentral:rRNA from 1 species